AGCCCGGCCCUGCCGUUCUUCACCUGGGAGGAGAUGGAGCAGCGCAACGGGCGGGGGCCGUUGGCCAGGAGCGGGGGCUGGGGAUCGAGAGGAAGGUGGACGACAUCAGCCGCUUCUACCGGAGGCAGCCGGGAGGGGCCCGGCUCAUCGGCAGCCACGCCGGGCAGGACGCCACGGACCUGGCCUGGAUGCUGACCUUCUAGAUCAGAUUGUCUUUUACUCAUGGAUUACUACUAAGGAGUCUCCUGGCAUAUUAUUUUAUAUUCAGGAUGCUGGAGAGCAGCUGGUUUGUCUGGGUGUCACAGAGGAACCAUAUCCCUGUGGAUAUUUACUGUGACAAAAACCUGGAGUGGGUGCCUACUCAGAAAGAAAAACUCUAUUAAAAUGUUGUCAGAUCUUAGCAAAUCUUUUACAGUAUCAUGCCACUGUUUAUGUCCCUGAAGUGCUGAAGCUGAUCCUCAUCCUGCAGCCUUCACAAACAUCUACACAGAAGCCCAUCAGAUGAUAACAUUGCUCAAAAAAACCCAAAGCUUGUGACUUGUCUGUUUUAAAUCCAAAGAGCAUUUAGGAGAAGCAGCGAGGGUCAAAAGCAACCUGGGCUCUGCACACACACAGAGUAAGUAAAGCAAAGCAAAGGAGCAGAAAUCUCUUUCCAACUUCUCCCCACAAAGCCAAGGGCAUUUUCAAGACCCUGUAGGCAAGAUGGGAGCUGGGAUUAGGCACAGCUAUGUGGUUUCACCUCCUUUGUGUGAACCACUCCUGAUUCUUCUCCCUCACUUCAAGCCAUACGAAAAGCUCCUCUGGAAUUCUUUGCUUCUUUAACUGGGUUUGGAAGAAAGAUUGAAGGGAAAAAAUGCAAGCAAGGCAAAAUAUGUUCGACUUCUGUUAAAGAUUACACCUUCAGGCAGAGCAGGUAUUGCACAACUUAAAGCAGCACUGGUUUGGCCAGCUUGUUUGCCAGGGUCUAAGUACCUGUGGCUUGAGCAGAGCAGGUCUGGAACAGGUCGUGCAGACCUCUGCUUGGGCAGGGGUCAGCCCUGUGUCAUUUGGGCAGCGCUUCACUAAAGGAAUGGACAAAAGUUGAUGUUUGGUCCCACAGGCAGCUCACUCUGCACUUAUUUCUUUGAUCUACGGCACCAAAGACAAUGCUGGUGUGAAGAAACGUUCCACUGAGCUCUUUGCUGAAGG